CGCGCCGCCGCCAUAUUGUGUCGGAGCAGUUGACCCGGACGCACGUGUGCGCACCUUGUGUUGUCGCGUUGUGUAGUGUUUGCAGUUUCCACGAGGCUGCGGUCAUAUUUGCUGGGGUGACUUGUACGGUUCGGUAUGUGCAGUGAAGCGUAUGUCGCAGUUUAAUAGCCAGCAAACUCUACCAUGCCAGGCUGCUGCGUACCUUUGUGCACCAGCGCAACAGAGAAGGGUCAUAGGUGCCUUUGGUUUCCCCGUGACUCGAAACGCAGAAAAAAGUGGGAAAUUCAAGUGAAAUGCGACUGUUGGAAAGCCACGGACAAUUCAAGAAUUUGCGAGCGUUGCUUUGAUGACCAGUUCGAGGGGAGGCGGCAAGAUGGUCGUCGGCUUCUUAAAUCAAGCGCUCUGCUACACUCUUCAACUUGAGGCCGGUACCCACGCAGAGAAAAGCCAGCACCUCGACUUCCCUUGGCUGGUGUUAAAAUUCAAGGGAAUGAAACCACAUCACCACUUCACUCAACAGGAGAACCAGAUGCUCAGAUGUUUUCUACGGAGAGCAGUGAAGAGUGGUCCUCCCAAGAAAAUAUGCACGAGCUCUGCAGCUUUAGAAAAAAUAUCUCCUUUAUGUCCGCAAGUGAACGGCGUAAAGCACUUCAUGACGCUGAAAGAAAAAACAACGAACUGAAAGCCUGACGCAGGCGAGUAGGAAGUUGAAGGCGAGUUAAAAAAAAGCGAGGAAGCUGGAGGAGAACCUUUCUUCAUUGACUGCGAACCUUAAAUUUCUUAAUGAUGAUCAGAAAGCCGCUUUACAAAAAACUAAUGGGAAAGGUUGUGUCUGGAACAGUGAGACCAUGAAGAAGGCACUGCAACUAAAGUUUGCAUGUGGUUCAACUGGGUAUGACUUGCUGUUGGAACAAAGCAACCCAAUACCUUCACGACGAACGCUGUGCAGACGAGUACAGCAUUUUUCUUUCAAGCCUGGCGUCCUCACUGAAAUCCUUAGUGUCAUGGAGACCAAACCGUCAGCAAUGACCGACAUUGAAAAGGACUGCGUUCUUUUCAUGGAUGAGAUGGAAAUUAGAAACGAUGUGGAGCUUGAUCGCUGCUGUGACUCCUUCCUUGGCAAGAUAACCCUCCCUGAGUGUGAUCAGCCUGCCAACCAUGCAAUCGUUUUUGUGGUUGGUGGCGUCAAUUCGCGUUGGAAGCAUGUGAUUGCAUACCAUUAUACUGGCUCAUUUGUCAAUGAAGACAAGCUUAAAGACUUUGUUCUUCAUUUACUGAAGCUUUGUGCGGACAUUUCCUUGCGUGUGCUUUGUGUCACUUGUGAUAUGGGCAGCUCUAAUUGUGCAAUGUGGAGGAGUCUGAACUUGUCAUCUUCUCGUGAUUCUGUCACAGUAUGCAGUAUGCCUCAUCCGCAGAACAGCAGCAAGUCAGUUUUUUAUGCCAGACCCAUCCCAUGUUCUUAAAAACAUCAGAGGCCACCUUGUGUGCAAAGAUGUUAUGCAUCUGAGUGAACAAAUCAUUUAAGAAUUCUGUUUGCCCAGUAGCGAGGUCACCAUAGAUCAUUUAGAAACUGUUCUCAAGUUGGACACAGAACAGCUGCGAGUGGUUCCAAAUCUGAAUAGUGCGCAUCUGUCGAAUGGACAUUUCACAAAAAUAAAAGUAGGAAUCGCAGUGCAGUUUUUCCGAGAAGCCCCAUCAGCCAUAAGAUAUUUUAUCAAGACUGGAAAGCUACCAUUGGAAGCAGAAACUACUGCCUGGUUUUUCGAGCUCAUAUUUAAAUGGUACACUCUGAUGACAUCUCGCCACCCAGUUGUCGCUUAGAGUUUUACAAAUAAGAGUAAAUAUGAAGAAGCCAUUGAAACACUUCGACUCACAGUAAGAGUAAUGGAAGGUUUGGGAAUUGGGGUCAAAAAAGUGUGGAAGCCAUGUCAAGCUGGCUUAAUAAUGGCAACAACAGUGGUGCUGAAACUACACUCUGUCCUACUGCUUGAAUGUGGCUACAAGUUUUUUUUUACAGGAAGGUUGACACAGGACUGACUAGAAAACUUCUUUUCAGUUGUAAGAAUGGUUUCACCUGUCCCAAUACGACUUGAAAAAUGCUCUAUAAAUAGUGUCGGUCAGCCAGUUUCUGAAGGUUUCACAUAAUUCAAGCUAUGAAAUUGACGAUAGCAGCUACUUGGUAGAUUUCUUUGCUAAAGAAAUCAAGGAGGUACAAAGCGAAAUAGCAGACUCAGUAGCGAGCCAUGACAUUGGUGAAAAAGGACCUUUGAGUGAAGCUGAAAGCGACAUCGUGGCCCACUUGGCAGGCUUUUUGGUUCGUCAUUUUGUAAAGACACCAAAGGCUUGCCGUUCGUGUGUGGAUAUCUUCACAACUGAUGACAUUUCCAAGGAGCAUGCUCUUGUUAGCAUGAAAGAAUAUGUGAAAGAUGGCAAGAACCUUGUAUACGUAAGCCAUGUUGUGUUAAACUUUGUGUCUUCAUGUGAAGCUGUGUCCAAAAAUUUUUGCGAAGAAAAAAACAUUUGCCGUCUAACACAGCCAAUCAAGACACUAAGAUGCCUGCUUGUGCACAAUGUUUCAACACCAUCGGUUGUAUGCGCUGAACAUCCAAAUGUCAUGAAAACUCCGGGAGAAUUUUGUGACGUGGCUCCGCAUUUAUUUGCACUGGCUGAGCCAACCAAAUAGCAAUGAUGAGGAUGGGUAUGACAGCAAGACAGUUGCAGGUGUUAACUUGAACUGAAAUUAUUUCAUCUCUUAAGCAGCACAUAAAUUUACUCCUGUUGAGUCUAUGCACCCAACGUUUGUAUGCAUGUGGCUGAUGAGGCUUCAGGCAGAUGAAAGCUUUGGAGAGCUGUAUUUAGGAUGUCAUUUUAUAUAUUCUCUGGCUGUCUUCCUGUGGUUUUGUGCAGUUAUGCAUUGGUAAUAAACCUUUCCUUUCCUUU